UACGUAGGGGGCAAGCGUUGUCCGGAAUCAUUGGGCGUAAAGAGCGUGUAGGCGGCCCGGUAAGUCUGUUGUGAAAGUCCAGGGCUCAACCCUGGAAAGCCGAUGGAUACUGCCGGGCUAGAGUUCGGAAGAGGCGAGUGGAAUUCCUGGUGUAGCGGUGGAAUGCGCAGAUAUCAGGAGGAACACCUAUAGCGAAGGCAGCUCGCUGGGACGACACUGACGCUGAGACGCGAAAGCGUGAGGAGCGAACAGG
rnacentral:rRNA from 1 species